rnacentral:lncRNA from 1 species
AAUUCUUCAUUUUGCCUGGUGAGAAGGGGCGCAAGAACUACUGUUCAAUUGACAAUUCAUUCAAUUUUACAAGGCAUAUUUAUUUCUUCCUUCACAAUUUCAAAGAGUUUUGGGGGAGGAGAAAAACCUACUUCUAUUCACAAUUAGGAUGGCUCUGUUUGAGUUAAAAAUUCCACCCCGUGAAAUACCUUUGCUGAGACGUAAUGAAUAGUGUUAGUAAUGUGGAAGAGGCUCAAGUGGAUAGAAAAUUGUCAAAACUUUCAGUAAUCAAUAGGCAAAUUGUGCUUUAGCCUGAAUGACUAUUACCAAAUAGGCAAUUCAUCAUUUGUUAGCAUGUUAUAGCUUUUGUAAGAAAAUUAUUGUAAAACUGGAGCUCUCCCAUUUCAAACGUCGCUGUUAUUUAUUAAUGGUUAAUUAUGAAUAGUAUUGAGGUAAUAGAAAACAGCAAUACCUGUUAUCUAUCUAUGUCACUAUGCAUAUUUAUCUGUAUCUAUCUAUGUAUAUGUCAUUUUGGAAAAGGCAAGCCUAUAGUAAGUUCUGUAAUUUUUAUUAAAAAUAACAUAAUACUACAAACAUGCAAACACACAAAUAAAAUAAUGAUAUGAUAUCUAAAGCUGAUAAUUCCUAUUUAUUUUGACCUCCUCUUUCUCGUUUGACAUGCAUUUGAGAAGAGAUUAGUGGAUUGCAACGGUUAUAUUAAAAUUAUAAAAAAGAGUAUUAGGGCUCUAUAGAGUAACCAACCACAGUUAGGAAGACAGACAAACAGC